ACGAACGCUGGCGGCGUGCCUAAUACAUGCAAGUCGAACGCACUCUCGUUUAGAUUGAAGGAGCUUGCUCCUGAUUGAUAAACAUUUGAGUGAGUGGCGGACGGGUGAGUAACACGUGGGUAACCUGCCCUAAAGUGGGGGAUAACAUUUGGAAACAGAUGCUAAUACCGCAUAAAACCUAACACCGCAUGGUGUAGGGUUGAAAGAUGGUUUCGGCUAUCACUUUAGGAUGGACCCGCGGUGCAUUAGUUAGUUGGUGAGGUAAAGGCUCACCAAGACCGUGAUGCAUAGCCGACCUGAGAGGGUAAUCGGCCACACUGGGACUGAGACACGGCCCAGACUCCUACGGGAGGCAGCAGUAGGGAAUCUUCCACAAUGGACGAAAGUCUGAUGGAGCAACGCCGCGUGAGUGAAGAAGGUUUUCGGAUCGUAAAACUCUGUUGUUGGAGAAGAAUGUAUCUGAUAGUAACUGAUCAGGUAGUGACGGUAUCCAACCAGAAAGCCACGGCUAACUACGUGCCAGCAGCCGCGGUAAUACGUAGGUGGCAAGCGUUGUCCGGAUUUAUUGGGCGUAAAGCGAGCGCAGGCGGUUUCUUAAGUCUGAUGUGAAAGCCUUCGGCUCAACCGAAGAAGUGCAUCGGAAACUGGGAAACUUGAGUGCAGAAGAGGACAGUGGAACUCCAUGUGUAGCGGUGAAAUGC
rnacentral:rRNA from 1 species